rnacentral:lncRNA from 1 species
UUUUUUUUUUAUUUUAGAGAUAGGUAGCACGUUACCCGCUUCGUUUAUUUCAUUUAGAAAUAAACUUAGCUGAAAAUGUAAAUCAACUAGGAUUCGAACUCGGGUCUCGGAUACCAACCACCAAACUCUUUACCACUUGCUCUACGGACAGUUGAUGGCACAUCAAGUAUUAAAUAUAUUUUUGAGUGUGUUUUGUUUUUAGAGUGAUUUUUGUGUAACAUGGUCUUAAAGCUAAUUUUAAACUUCUGUGAUUAGGUAAGAUCAUGAAUUUUGCAUCCGUUUCAAUGGAUUAAAUACUGAUAUUUACUUGUCAAUUGCAUGUGUUACAAGUAUCCUGCAUGCAAGGGUAGCAUCAUUUGAGUUAUUCCUAUGCCUAUUUUUUGUUAGAUUUAUUUUUUUGGAUAACAUCAACAGUUUAUAUAAGCUACAUUUUGGGGAAGCUCUAGAGAAGGUCGCUGUUGAAAUUCUGUUAAAACAGCAAUCCUUAAGGUGAAAAUGGUGGAAUUUAGAGUAAUUUGAAGGUUAAAGUGCAAAUUCGAGCUUCCCUGUGAAAGGGGGAGUGAAAAAGCUUCUUAGGAGGCGAAUACCAGCUAUUUAUACUGAGGUGAAAGGGUGAAAUAAGCCUCAAGAACAAGAGCGGUUAACCUGCUAUCCUGCAGGAACGGGCACUUUCGGGGGCCCAAAACCGUGUUCUGGGCGUCCGAAUCCUCCAGGCUACACAAAGCUCCCACUUCAGUUCCUCCACCUGAGGUCUGCUGUGCCCAUAACGUGAUCCGGCGGACCUCACCUAGCACCAUACACGUGUCAGCACAAUCGAUAUUCCCAAUGUGAACAUUCGGACCCACUUCUGGGCACCCGGAAUAUAGGAUCCGAAUUGACUUUCAGUUUCAGUUAAUUUCAGCACUCAGUUCUGGGCGACCUAAACCAGAUUCUAAGCGCCCGAAACUAGCAAAACUCCAGUUUUGCUUAUUUGAGUGCGUCAAGUCCAUUUCUGUAUCCAUUUCGUGCAGAAACGACUCCGACUCAGUCCGACACUCUUCAGAUGUGUCGACCAGUCACUAAUACUGUAGCCAAUCCUAUCCAAAACUCUGAAACACUACAAUUUGGUUCGGAUUAUCCUGGCAGGAUUACAGACAUUCCUGCCAAGAUUACUGCAUUUGGUUCAUCCAAUAUAUAGUCUGUUCGGUAUUGUAGCAUUACAAAAAGUGUAAGAUUACACCAAAAAUAUUACCGAGAGAGAGUGUGUACCUUUGAUUACUAAAAGCGGCUAAUCUUGCAUGUUACAUAAAAUUACAAGUUUACAUCUCCAACUCCCGAAACCCUUUCAAUACAUCAUUUUAAAAUUUUAAUUUAAAAUUUUGAAUUGUCAACUUUUAAAUUUUAAACUUUAAAUUUUAAAUUUUAAUUUUCAAAUUUAAAAUUUAAAUUUUUAAAAUUUUAAAUUUCAAAUUUUAAAUUUUAAAUUUUUAAACCUCAACUUUUAAAUUUCAAAUUUCAAAUUUCAAAUUUAAAUUUUAAAUUUUAUAUUGUAUAUUUUAUAUAUUAUACUUAAAUUAAAGUUUAAAAUUUUAAAAUUUUAAUUUUAAUUUUAAUUUUAAAUUUUAAAUUUUAAAAUAAAAUUUUAAAAUUGAAUUUUAAAUUAAAAUUUUGAACUUCAAAUUUCAAAUUUCAAAAUUUGAAUUGCCGAUUUUUAAAUUUUAAAUUUUGAAUUUUAAUUUUUAAUUUUCAAAUUUAAAUUUUGAAUUUUAAAAUGUAAAUUUUUAAACUUCAAAUUUCAAAUUUUAAAUUUUAGAUUUAAAUUUAAAUUUAAAUUUUAAAAUUAAAUUUAUAGUUUUAAAUUUUAAAUCUUAAAUCUUAAAUAUAAAAUUUUAAAUUCAAAUUUUAAAUUUAAAUCUCAAAUUUUAUAUUUUAUAUUUAAAUUUUAAAUUUUAAAUUUUAACUUUUUGUUUUAAAUUCUAAAUUUUAAAUUUAGAUUUAAUUUUAAAUUUUAAAUUUAGAUUUUAAAUUUUAAAUUUUAAAUUUUAAAUUUUAAAUUUUAAUGUAAAAUUUAAACUCGUUUCCAUACAAAAUCUAUAAGAGCCUACCACAAGUAUAUAGCUCACCCCCAAACAUAUAUAUACGAUUAUCUAGUUAAUAUGUCUCCUCAUGAGUACAAGAUACAUUUCUAAUAUGCAAGGUGAGCCGGCAAAUCAUGAUACAGAAUAUCUAGAGCCAGUAUUCACCGGCCGGAAGGAUUUCUGUUCCGCGACAAGUAUGAUGGAUCUCCGAGUCCGAGUUUCCUGCCAACAGAGGCAAUAAAUGAGAAUGCUGGUCUCAGAGACCAACUAUAUUGCAUGAAGAAAGAACUGACCGAAUUUAGUAUAACACACACCAAAAAAAGGAACAGACAAAAUAGACGCAUCGCAUCAUUAUUUCAAAGAAACCCAAGCACCAUUAAUGAGGGGGGAAAAUGGACAUGAACGAGGAUCGAUUGUUAUAAAAGAAACAAUGCUCGCAAAUCCUUAUUGAGAGCAGUGAAUGCAAUAAAACAGUGAACAUGGUUUCAGAAGUACUUAUUGCAAAUUUGUCCAAAAAUUACGAGAAAAAGCAAGACAGGUUUUCAUGGAGUUUCUUCUGCGUCAAGAGAAGAUGAUAUGAUUUGUAUCUUAUCAUAUUUGUCAAGGUUACAGCAAAAAAGUANUCGACAAGGUUGGAGGCGAGGAAAGCUAAGGGAGGGUGCGCGGGUGAGAGCGAGCAGGACAGAGGCGAGCCGGGCCACCUCCGCCUCUGCCUCCGCUUCCACCGCCCUCUUUGGAGAGAAAGAAAAAAAGAGAACUAUAGAGGAAAAAAAAAAAAAAAAGUGAGAGAAAAGAAAAUAAGGGUAUCUUGGUCAGUUUUCUAAAAAUUCUUCCUGAAUCUACAAAAUUCAAUUCGGCCUGAAUCUGCAAAAUUCAAAAAGACAGCCUAUUUUUUCAAAAUCUCAAAACUAAUAAUUUUUUUAUGCAAAUUGGCCUUAAUUAAUUAGUUCGUAUUUAAAUAGCAAUCAUAGAGCCUGACUUAUGUUUUAAGUUAUUUUAUAUGGUAGAAUUUUCGAUUCGGCAAUCGAUUCUAUUAGAUUUAAUCUAAACUAUUUAAAAUAUUUAAAGUACUUGAAAUUCAACAGUUUAAAAAAAUUAUAAAAAAUAAUUAUAUAACACUAAAAUUUUAAAUCAAACGAAUUGAUUUUAUUUUAGAUAGUAUAUAAAGAAUAUUCUAUCAAAAUUUUAUAUUAUUUGAAUAUUUUUAGACCGUUAAACUUGUAAAUAGCUCUACUCGACCAUUAAAAUUGUUAACUUUGAAUCCCUUCGAUCACUAUUAAAUGAUAUUAGAAAACUAUAAAAUUUAUUAUUCAAACACUUCAAAUACUCUAUAUCAAAUCUAAUAGAAGUAAUCGUCAAUUUAAAAUUUUCAUCAUAAAAAAUAACUUAGAAGCAUGAAAAGUCUCCAUACAUUGGAAAGCACACUAGCCUAGUUCAGUAUCAUAUUCAGCCUUCAGAUUAAUUUUUUAGACAUAAGAUAAAUUACUUUUAGGUAAAAUGUGUUAUUUUAUCAAGGAAUAAAAAUCAAAAUUUUACUUUUUCAAUCACACAAAAUAUAUCACAUGCCGAACAAGUUAUUCUACUACAAUUUACUAUGAUGUCUAAAAAUAACCUACAACAGCACGAAAUGCUUUAAAUAUAAUAAUAUUGUCUUCAUAGAAAGUUGAUGUAUUAUUAAUUUCAUGUAACAAUAUAUCCAAAGUGCCUGAAUCAAUCCAAGACCUUGGUGGCGGCACAUCAAGUAUUAAAUAUAUUUUUGAGUGUAUUUUGUUUUUAGAGUGAUUUUUGUGUAACAUGGUCUUAAAGCUAAUUUUAAACUUCUGUGAUUAGGUAAGAUCAUGAAUUUUGCAUCCGUUUCAAUGGAUUAAAUACUGAUAUUUACUUGUCAAUUGCAUGUGUUACAAGUAUCCUGCAUGCAAGG